rnacentral:rRNA from 1 species
GGGUGAGUAACACGUGGGUAAUCUGCCCUGCACUUCGGGAUAAGCCUGGGAAACUGGGUCUAAUACCGGAUAGGACCUCGAGGCGCAUGCCUUGUGGUGGAAAGCUUUUGCGGUGUGGGAUGGGCCCGCGGCCUAUCAGCUAGUUGGUGGGGUGACGGCCUACCAAGGCGACGACGGGUAGCCGGCCUGAGAGGGUGUCCGGCCACACUGGGACUGAGAUACGGCCCAGACUCCUACGGGAGGCAGCAGUGGGGAAUAUUGCACAAUGGGCGCAAGCCUGAUGCAGCGACGCCGCGUGGGGGAUGACGGCCUUCGGGUUGUAAACCUCUUUCAGCAGGGACGAAGCGCAAGUGACGGUACCUGCAGAAGAAGCACCGGCCAACUACGUGCCAGCAGCCGCGGUAAUACGUAGGGUGCGAGCGUUGUCCGGAAUUACUGGGCGUAAAGAGCUCGUAGGUGGUUUGUCGCGUUGUUCGUGAAAUCUCACGGCUUAACUGUGAGCGUGCGGGCGAUACGGGCAGACUGGAGUACUGCAGGGGAGACUGGAAUUCCUGGUGUAGCGGUGGAAUGCGCAGAUAUCAGGAGGAACACCGGUGGCGAAGGCGGGUCUCUGGGCAGUAACUGACGCUGAGGAGCGAAAGCGUGGGGAGCGAACAGGAUUAGAUACCCUGGUAGUCCACGCCGUAAACGGUGGGUACUAGGUGUGGGUUUCCUUCCUUGGGAUCCGUGCCGUAGCUAACGCAUUAAGUACCCCGCCUGGGGAGUACGGCCGCAAGGCUAAAACUCAAAGGAAUUGACGGGGGCCCGCACAAGCGGCGGAGCAUGUGGAUUAAUUCGAUGCAACGCGAAGAACCUUACCUGGGUUUGACAUGCACAGGACGCCGGCAGAGAUGUCGGUUCCCUUGUGGCCUGUGUGCAGGUGGUGCAUGGCUGUCGUCAGCUCGUGUCGUGAGAUGUUGGGUUAAGUCCCGCAACGAGCGCAACCCUUGUCUCAUGUUGCCAGCGGGUAAUGCCGGGGACUCGUGAGAGACUGCCGGGGUCAACUCGGAGGAAGGUGGGGAUGACGUCAAGUCAUCAUGCCCCUUAUGUCCAGGGCUUCACACAUGCUACAAUGGCCGGUACAAAGGGCUGCGAUGCCGCAAGGUUAAGCGAAUCCUUUUAAAGCCGGUCUCAGUUCGGAUCGGGGUCUGCAACUCGACCCCGUGAAGUCGGAGUCGCUAGUAAUCGCAGAUCAGCAACGCUGCGGUGAAUACGUUCCCGGGCCUUGUACACACCGCCCGUCACGUCAUGAAAGUCGGUAACACCCGAAGCCAGUGGCCUAACCCUUUGGGAGGGAGCUGUCGAAGGUGGG